AUUGAACGCUGGCGGCAUGCCUUACACAUGCAAGUCGAACGGCAGCACGGGGCAACCUGGUGGCGAGUGGCGAACGGGUGAGUAAUGCAUCGGAACGUACCUUUCAGUGGGGGAUAACGUAGCGAAAGUUACGCUAAUACCGCAUAUUCUGUGAGCAGGAAAGCAGGGGAUCGCAAGACCUUGCGCUGAUUGAGCGGCCGAUGUCAGAUUAGCUAGUUGGUGAGGUAAAGGCUCACCAAGGCGACGAUCUGUAGCGGGUCUGAGAGGAUGAUCCGCCACACUGGAACUGAGACACGGUCCAGACUCCUGCGGGAGGCAGCAGUGGGGAAUUUUGGACAAUGGGGGAAACCCUGAUCCAGCCAUGCCGCGUGAGUGAAGAAGGCCUUCGGGUUGUAAAGCUCUUUCGGCCGGGAAGAAAUCGCACGGGCUAAUACCCUGUGUGGAUGACGGUACCGGAAUAAGGAGCACCGGCUAACUACGUGCCAGCCGCCGCAGUAACAC
rnacentral:rRNA from 1 species